GUGGUAAGCCUAUGUGUAAUGGCCGCGUAUAAAACAAAGAUUAUAUUAUUUUAACUCAUCGAUUACGCGAUACUGGAAGUGUUUCAUCUAUUUUUGUUUAUUACAAUCAAUGUAUAUAAGUGGUAUUUUACUUUAUCAAAUUUCGACGUUAUGUCAAUGUAUUGCAGAUUGUGUUUCUUGUAAAUGACAACUAACCUUUAAUUCUCUCAUUCAAUUUGACAAAUCAUAAUCAAUUCUCAUAUUCGAUCAAAAGUUGUUUUACGAAUAUAUGUAUGGUUACUUGUGUCCAAUUUUUAACAAUGUCGUGCACAGAACAAAAAUUACAUACACUUGUGACGGAAAAUUUUUGUUCUCUGAAGCGUUUCCUAGUUCUAGUUUGUUCAUGCUAAAGUCAAUUAUAAUUAUUAGUAGUUUUUAAAGUUUUCUUAGUUUUUCUAUGCAGUCAGUUGCAAAACAGAUUUCUUUACACCCCCAGCGAAUAUAUUAAAGUGACAUAAUAAUAAAUGAAUGUACCAGUGUUUACUUACUGAUUUAAGAAUGUACGUGAUAUUUUUUUUCAUUCAUCGAUGGACUGCUCGACAGUUAUUAGGAAUUGCAAUUAAAGAGUUCAUAAUUUGCCACAAUAGAGCGUUUUUCAACAAUGACAACAUUAUCCUCUCCACAAUUUUCUGAUAUCACGAAAUAAUAGAAAGGCCAAUAACAUUAUGGACGAGAGGCGAGUGGCUGACUACUUUGUAGUUGCUGGUCUACCGGGUCAUGAUGAUGAUAUUCAAGAAGAGAAUGAGUCGGAAAAUAUAUUAGAAGAUUGGUGCCAAGAAGGAACGCAUCUGAAAGAUAUGCAAAUGCCAGCACCGAUAACAGACUUAGCUGUCAUAUUUCCAGCGCUGGGUGAAACUUGUCCUGAGGGAUAUACUCUAUUGGAUACGACAGUUAGUGGAUUUCCUGCUGACCUGAACCAUGGAAGUUUAAGAACGAACGAAUGUUAUUUAUGCUACAUGAGGAGCCGGGAUAAACCACCUUUAGUGGAUAUAGGUGUGAUAUAUGAUGGGAAAGAGCGAAUAAUGAAAGAUGCAGAGAUCGUUCAAGAAACGCCAUCCGGACACGUAGCAAAUGUCAAUAAUUCCACAUCGAGAAUUUUUGUUACCUACAGGCGGGCAAGCCGAAAAAUGCCUUGUAAUUCGCUUGUUGUUACAGACAUAUGUGUGAUUUUGGCAAACAAAGGAGAGACUCCACCACAUGCCUUUUGUGUUAUAAAUAAAAAUUUAAAUAAAGGCAUGUUGGGUAGUGACGUUUUUCUCUGUUAUAAAAAGUCUAUGAAUCGGGCGAAUUUAAUAUCAUUAAAGCCAGCAAUAUUAUACAAGUAUCCAAUGAUGGACUAUAGCAGUUUUGUUUUUCCAAAUUCAGUCGCUAUGUUUUGUCUCCCAAUGGGCGCCACAAUAGAGUGUUGGCCAAAAGUUGCCUGCAAACCAAAACCUGUUUUUUCGACAUUCGUUUUAACUGUUGCGGAUGCUGCCCAAAAAAUUUAUGGUUCUGCAAUCACAUUUUAUGAAGAAGUUGUGCCUGAUUUGUACAUUCCUCACUGCAAAGUUGAUCCCGAAGUUUCGGAAAUUCCGGAAUCCAACUCAAAAAGUGGUGAUGCUUUAGAUGUUGUUUUAAAUAAACCACAUGUUAAAAUGAAAUCUUUGCUAAAAUUCGGUAUCUUAAAGAAAUUGAACCAAACGCAGUUAGAGAAACUACAAUACGUGGAUCCCGAAAAUCAGUCACUAAAUCUGAGUAAAUCAAUAUGCAUUUUGUCUCAUUGGCCAUUUUUCGACACAUUUGAACAGUUUUUAGUAUUUUUGCACAGUAUGGUUAAUGACAAACCUCAGAAUGUUCCUAUAGAGAAAUAUGUGUCGUACUUUCUUUGUGACAUACCUUUUCCCAGUCCACAAAGACCGAGGAUUUUAGUACAGUUAAGCAGCCAAGAUCGUUUAAUUUUAACCCAGCCUGAAGAUUUAGCCUUACCAAGAUCUGGUGCGAGUUUUAGACAAUUGUUAAUUAAUUUGGGCCCAGACAAUUGCAUGUUGAUUUUACUGUUGAUAUUGACGGAACAAAAAAUUCUCGUACAUUCUUUGAGGCCGGACGUGCUCACGUCUGUGAGUGAAGCAAUUGCGAUGAUCCUGUUCCCUUUUAAGUGGCAAUGUCCUUAUAUACCACUGUGUCCCUUAGGCUUGGCAGAAGUUUUACAUGCUCCAUUGCCGUUUCUCAUUGGCGUAGACUCUCGUUUCUUUGAUUUGUACGAUCCGCCCAGUGACGUUAAUUGCGUCAAUUUGGAUACAAAUAAUAUAGCCGUUUGUGACGACAAAAGACAUUUAAAUAUAAAAAUUUUACCUAAAAAGGCCACGAGGAUGCUUAGAAGUAGAUUGGAACUUUUGUAUUCUAAAUUAAUUUCGCUUGGAAAGAGCUAUUCUUCUCAUAAAGAAAAGAGAGACGAAGAUUUCUGUGUCGACAAAGAAUUUCAGCAAAAACGAAAGGAACAAGCUUUAGAACUUGAGAUUCAAGAUGCCUUUCUAAGAUUCAUGGCCAUGAUCUUAAAAGGCUAUCGUGCCUACUUAUUGCCCAUAACAAAAGCGCCUACGGUCGGAUCCACAGAUCCAACUAGUUUAUUCAAUAUGCAGGCUUUUUUAAGAAGUCGUGAUAAAGCUCAUGCUAAGUUUUAUAGUAUGCUCGUACGAACACAGAUGUUUAUAAGAUUCAUUGAAGAAACAAGCUUUGUAUCUGAUAUGGAUAUGGCUGGACUAGCUUUUUUCGAUGAGUGUACUGAACGAAUUGACGAGGACGAUGUAAUGCUUUUGGAAUUAGAUGAAUCUCAACACAGUGAACGAACAGUGUUUAUACCAUCUCCAGAGGCAGGACCAAAUCAGCACAAAAUAAUUUAUAAAACAUUUAAAUUGAACCCGGAACUAAUGAGAUCCCAGAAAAAUUUCAGCUUAAUAAAUCCUACUUUGAGUGCCUUGACCAUUGUGCCUGGCAGUCCAAUGGCUCGUAGAACAAAACAUGAAAUCAAAGUUGCUCAAAGGAUGGCUCGAAAACAAGCAGCUGUUCCAGAUCGAUGGGGCAGGUGCUUGCUUGGUACCUGCUACAGUCUAUGGUUCUUACACCUCCCCGCUAUGUUGCAAGCUUCGAACCAACCUGCAGCUAUUCUGCACCAAGCAUAUGAAUUACUGGUAAAAAUGCAAAAAUUGCGUUUGGAUCCAAUGGAAGAAGUUUGUUAUAGAGCUAUGAUGCAAUUAUGUGGUGUAUAUGGACAGCCAGUAUUAGCUGUGAAAUUAUUAUUCCAUAUGAAGCGAAGUGGAGUUCAACCAAAUGCAUUGACUUACGGAUUUUAUAACAAGGCUGUGCUAGAAGCGACGUGGCCUUCUGAUAUGAUGAAUUCAAGUCAAUUAAUGUGGAAUAAAUUACGUAACGUGAUUAUUGGUGCUGCAUUAUUUAAAAAAGCUGGCAAGAAGAGCGCCAGAAGAAGAUUAAGUUCAAGCAUUAAUGCUAUGUCUGAUAGUAAGAGUCAAUGUAUGGAGCACGGAGUAUCAAGAUCCAGUCUAGAUAGUACACACUCGCAAGAUACAGAAGCUGUCCGCAGAGACUCAUUAAAGGGCAGUUCAGUACCAGAUUUACCAGCUUUUGGACUAAACGAAAUGAAAAUCAAGUCUAACCGACAGAAAAGUAUUGUAAAAGAUCUUGCAAUAUUAAGCACUUCACAACCUGAGGCGCUCGAUCGUUCUCCUAGCAAUCCAAGGUUAACUCGCAGUAUAGAGUCGCCCCUGAGAAGUCCUAUUAGAACUCCAGUAAUAGAAAAUGAUCCGCUGGGUGCAUUAAUGAAUGAUGACACGCCAAUGUUAUCACCUUGUGAAGAAAACGAUUCCAACUGCUCAACAAGUACACUGACUGUUAUGAAUAGUACCACCGAGGAUAGACCUGGAGGUCCAAUUUUAUUCAGAAGCAAUAUUCUACCUCGAAGUGCAACUUUUCACCAGGCGGUAGAUGGAGAUGUAAGUGUCGGCGGAAAUUUGCAAAGAAGCGAAACAAUGCCUCAUUCUGUCGCUCAGCAAGGAGACCAGGAAAGAGAUAGAGAUCGACUGGAGAUUGGUAGUUUGUGGACUCAAAACAAAGACAGUGUAACCUCUAGCUUAUCUAGCUUAGGCUCAAGCUUGAAACUCAGUUUUGGGAGAUAUUCUACCAGAGGACCAGCAUUUACUAAAAAUAAGGAUAUAAUAUCAUCAAAUCAAUACAUUGAAUCUCUUAGUUUAUCGAGUUACAUCAGUCCCUCGAGUUUGACCGGAAAGAAGUCGAAUGAAUUAAUUCAGGGCGGCUUAAACAGUCUAAAAUCAGCUGCAACAACAGUCGUAAAAAAAUUUGAUGAAAUAAAAGAAGCUAUUUCGGCGACUAGUACUCCUGUUAAACUUAAGGAACGUGAUCAAAGGUUAGGCUAUGGAAUUUCUCAUGAAUCCUUAGACUCCCUUACAGACGGAUCGCAGCAAGAUCGCAACGAAAUAUUUAUGAAAAUUCCAGGCAUAGCUGAUGUAACUAUGGAAUUAGGUUCACUUUAUGAAUUAGCGGAAUGCUUAUACCCAAAAGGAACCAGAGAACAGGAGGAUCGUCUUGCUGUUGAACUUGUUCUUUCAAGUGCUAGUAGAUGCCAUAAUUGUUCUGCUAUACUAUAUGAUGAGGAAAUAAUGGCUGGAUGGCAGCCGGAAGAUUCCAAUUUAAAUACAAUCUGUCAGUUUUGCGAUAAAGCGACUGUACCACUGCUCACUGUAACAAUAUUGGAUUACAGGUACAAAGAAGGCGAGAAAAGUAAUGAUCCGCUAACUGAUGCCUUAGUGGAACUAUUGCAGCAGCCGAGAGAAUUGCCAGUACCAAUCACUGUUCCGUACCUUAAUCCACUAGUUCUGAGGAAAGAACUGGAAAAUGUUUUAAGUCAAGAGGGUGACUCGUGUCUCACUAAAUAUAAAUUCAUUCAAGAGCACCCCAUUGUAUAUUGGAACUUGAUAUGGUACUUUGAGAGAAUAAAUCUUACCAGUCACCUGCCUGAACUGUGGUUAAGUAGUGAAGAGAAAAAAGAAUUGCAAUCUGGUUCGGGUUUGGUUGGCGUAAGAACUAUGUGGGAUAAUGAACGUCUUCAUAUAAACCGUUUACCCAUGUAUAUUCAGUGGAAGCUAAAUACGGAUAGAACGUUAAUGCAAACGGUUAUAACAAAUGUUCGACAUAACGACUUAGCGGAGCCCAUAAGACGAGUUGCUUUAGAAAGAAGCAGAUUUCCCUCAGAAGAUCAAGCAGCUUUUUCUAUAUAUAGAGAUAUUCUUUUUUUGGCUUUUACUGUUCUUGGUAGGGGUAACAUAGAUCAAGAUAUCGGCUACCAAUACGAAUUGAUACGAAAACCAUCGACAAAUAAUAGACCUAAUGUCAGCUUGAAGUUUCGGGCCUACCUCUAAUUGAUCAUUAAGUGAUUUUCCAGAGGAUGUAGAUGAUGAAUCAUUGAAAACUACGCGGACGCGGGUAGUACUACUUGUUUUCUGGAUUACGGGAUGAUGCGGAAUUUAUUGUAUUCGCACUCUAAUUCUGCAUCAUAUUUUAACCGACGUUCAAUCCUAAACAUCAUAGCUUUUGCGAUUUGAAACGAUUUACCGAAAGCUUCUUGACUGGCUUUCUUCAAUGGGAGACGCAUGACAUAUCUACCAUCUGGAUGGUAGAUAAAGUACAAUUCCUUAAAGGACCUUAAAUAAUCCAACCAAAUACCGUUGAUUGGAUAGUAAAGUCACUAGAAGGUCCUUGUAUAAGACCAGGUAGCAAAAGUGAGACAAAAUAAUCAGCUCCGAUGGAAAAAUCGAUUUUAUUAUUUGUACAAAAAGGUUCAAGAUCUGCUAGCUCAAGGACACUAUUGUCUCUAUGGGAUAGCGCUGCGCACGUAAAGUUUGAGCCAUAGAUACAUUGAGAAAACUUGAUGGAGAGCCUCGAUCUAAUAAAGCGCGAACAGCAAAUUCUUUGCCAUUAUACGUUUUAUUAUUAGAAUUAACAGUAGAUGUACUUGGUGUCAAAUGAGAAUGCGCAUUUGACUUAUUCGAAUUCGAGGAAUGCUCUUAUUUAAGCGACAAAUUAUAAGACUCAAAGGUGUUUAUAAUUCUCAGUAUAUGAAGAUUGCUCGCUGUAUAACAAAGAAUUAUGUUCACGUUUGCAUUGAAUACAUAUUGAUUGACUUUUACAAUUGCGUAGCAUAUGACCUGGUC